UUAGUUUCAUAGUGAAAAUAUGUGAGGUAAGUGAAUAUAAGUAUACUUCGACAACGUAACUACAUUUAGAUAUAUAAAUGCUGUUGUAUGUGCCUUUCAUUUUGCUUUUGUACUUGCAUGCCUGUUAAUAGCAUAGGUAUAUUUGCUGCAUGUUUUUGUGGAUCGUUAAUGGAAUGUGUGCAUGGUUUCUGUCUUCUUCAUUCAAAUUAUAUGCAUUUUGAUAUUUUUCCUUUUUAUGGUAAUUUGCAUUUGGGUGUAUAUAGUUCUGAAGUAAUACCACAAUUGUUUUAUCAUCUAAAUAAGAAGUACCUAUCUGAAUAGUGCGCUAGUUUUUACUACUUAGACUAUUUUUCUGCUAUAUUUUAUUUAUGUUUGUGAUGUAUAUACCUAUGUUAUUCUCUGCUAUUCGUGAAAUUAAAACAUCUAGAUUUCAUAUAUGCACAAUACACUUUUCUUCCAUCAUUAUUAAUGACCAAUGUCAGAUCACAUAAGGAUGCUUUUUGAGAAAUAGAUUCUGAUAAGUUUAAUCAAAUGUUUUAGUAUGAUAGGUAUAAAUAAUUUUGCUGUUUCAGAGUGAGGAAUCACCUCCUGAAGUUUACUCAUGUAUUCAAAACUUUCAUAACUUUAUAUUAUGUUUUGCAUCUCAAUCUUUUAUCCAAUGUGCAGACUUUGAGAAGAUAGAUAUCAGCCGAGUGGAUAAGGCUGGCCACAUUGAGGAUCAAGAGACAAAAAUAAGUUUUGGUUGAUGUAGGUACUUUGAUUACAUUAAAAAUUUUCAAUAAU